UGGGGAAUUUUGGACAAUGGGGGCAACCCUGAUCCCAGCAAUGCCGCGUGUGUGAAGAAGGCCUUCGGGUUGUAAAGCACUUUUGUCCGGAAAGAAAACGCCGUGGUUAAUACCCGUGGCGGAUGACGGUACCGGAAGAAUAAGCACCGGCUAACUACGUGCCAGCAGCCGCGGUAAUACGUAGGGUGCAAGCGUUAAUCGGAAUUACUGGGCGUAAAGCGUGCGCAGGCGGUCCGCUAAGACAGAUGUGAAAUCCCCGGGCUUAACCUGGGAACUGCAUUUGUGACUGGCGGGCUAGAGUAUGGCAGAGGGGGGUAGAAUUCCACGUGUAGCAGUGAAAUGCGUAGAGAUGUGGAGGAAUACCGAUGGCGAAGGCAGCCCCCUGGGCCAAUACUGACGCUCAUGCACGAAAGCGUGGGGAGCAAACAGGAUUCAGAUACCCUGGUAGUCCACGCCCUAAACGAUGUCAACUAGUUGUCGGUCUCAUUGACUUGGUAACGUAGCUAACGCGUG
rnacentral:rRNA from 1 species